AUACGGAGGAUCCGAGCGUUAUCCGGAUUUAUUGGGUUUAAAGGGUGCGCAGGCGGGAGAUUAAGUCGGCGGUGAAAUUUUGCAGCUCAACUGUAAAAGUGCCUUCGAAACUGGGUUCCUUGAGUGUAGAUGAAGGAGGCGGAAUUUGUGGUGUAGCGGUGAAAUGCAUAGAUAUCACGAGGAACUCCGAUUGCGCAGGCAGCUUACUAAACUACUACUGACGCUCAGGCACGAAGGCGUGGGGAUCAAACAGGAUUAGAUACCCUGGUAGUCCACGCAGUAAACGAUGAUUACUAGCUGUUUGCGAUACAAUGUAAGCGGCUGAGCGAAAGCGUUAAGUAAUCCACCUGGGGAGUACGUUCGCAAGAAUGAAACUUAAAGGAAUUGACGGGG
rnacentral:rRNA from 1 species